rfam:Schistosoma haematobium scaffold19_2, whole genome shotgun sequence.
AUUCGUCUGAAGAGUCCUAAAUAGGACGAAACAUGCAUCGAACUGGAU